rnacentral:rRNA from 1 species
UACGUAGGGUGCAAGCGUUGUCCGGAAUUAUUGGGCGUAAAGAGCUCGUAGGCGGUUUGUCGCGUCUGCUGUGAAAACCCGAGGCUCAACCUCGGGCCUGCAGUGGGUACGGGCAGACUAGAGUGCGGUAGGGGAGAUUGGAAUUCCUGGUGUAGCGGUGAAAUGCGCAGAUAUCAGGAGGAACACCGAUGGCGAAGGCAGGUCUCUGGGCUGUAACUGACGCUGAGGAGCGAAAGCAUGGGGGAGCGAACAGG